GACGAACGCUGGCGGCGUGCUUAACACAUGCAAGUCGAACGGUGAAGCGCCUUCCUUUUUGGUGGGUGUGGAUGAGUGGCGAACGGGUGAGUAACACGUGAGUAACCUGCCCCCUUCUUCUGGAUAACCGCAUGAAAGUGUGGCUAAUACGGGAUAUUCUGGGUCUGUCGCAUGAUGGGUCUGGGAAAGAUAUUGUUUCGGUGGGGGAUGGGCUCGCGGCCUAUCAGCUUGUUGGUGGGGUGAUGGCCUACCAAGGCGGUGACGGGUAGCCGGCCUGAGAGGGUGGACGGUCACACUGGGACUGAGACACGGCCCAGACUCCUACAGGAGGCAGCAGUGGAGAAUAUUGCACGAUGGGCGCAAGCCUGAUGCAGCGACGCCGCGUGAGGGAUGGAGGCCUUCGGGUUGUGAACCUCUUUCGCCAGUGAAGCAGGCCUGCCUCGUUUGUGGGUGGGUUGACGGUAGCUGGAGAAGAAGCGCCGGCUAACUACGUG
rnacentral:rRNA from 1 species